UAAUCAUUAAUGUUUUCUUUAUUUAAAUUUAUGUUUAUAGAUGCCACAAAGUAUGUGCUAUCUGGGGCUGCAGAAGCAACAAGAAGCGCAUGUUUCGGUUCCCCUGUCCGCUGAAAAAGAAAGACAGGUGCAUGCAGUGGAUAAUAGCUUCAAGAAGGGAGGAUUUUCUACAGCUUCCCCCGAAGGUAGUGAAUAACAAAGUGUUGUGCGAUAUUCAUUUUGAAGAUCGCUAUCGCUUCACGAAAAAUCUCACGAGGGACGCAAUACCAACCUGCAACUUACCAACACCUGCUGCAUCUGUCGAGCCACAGGAGGAAAUUGUAAUGGAAAUUACAGAAGGAGAAGAACUAUAGAUCUACCAGGACAGUUUGGUCCCAGGAUAACGUCAGACUAAAGAGCAGCAUGGGACUUCAGGACAACAUGAGACUUCAGAACAGUAUGGGACUUUAGGACAACAUGAGACUUCAGAACAGUAUGGGUCUUCAGGACAAUGUGAGACUACAGAACAGCAUGGGACUGAAAGGACAGCGUAGGACUGAAGGACAAUAUUGAACCUGGAACCAGUAAAGACUCCUGCGCACUUGCCUUUAAUGUGCUUCCUGGAUCAUCCAGAGAUUGUGCUGUCCAAAGGGGUCAACUCCAAGCAGCCAGCAGAGUAUGACCUUAAUAAAUGUUUAGAAUUUAGCUAUUUCGGCUUUUCGUAACAUUAGUUUUUUUAAAAGAAAGCUCGCUAGAUAGUAAACAUCCAAAGGUACUGCACAGUUGGAUUAGGACUCAUAAAAAUUUAAAAUUUUUAAAAUUUCAUCUGCGUGAUCUUGGUUUUGUUGAAUUUAUUACGCCUAAUUUGAAACAAGAUGCGCUUGAAAAUUUUUUCGGACAAAUAAGGCAACACGGUGUUCGUAAUACUAAUCCAACUUGCAGAGCCUUUCACUCAUACACAUAUAAGUCUACUUUCAAUUCUUGAUUUUUUAAAUUUGUGUUCUAUUUAUUGUACAUCAUUUUCUUAAUUACUAUUUUUUGUCAAUAAUUAAAACUCUGCUUUUUGUCAAUAUUCAUUUUUUACAUUUAUGUUGUCCAAGCCGAGGCUUGGGUGGGACCCAAUGGCACCAUCGUCUGUGAUGGGUGCCAUUGGACCUUCUCAGAAGUGGAGGCACAACAAUACGCACCAGCACAUGUACAUCGGCUGGUGCGAGAAGGUCGCCUGGCCCAUGCAGCGGCCCGCUGCCUGGAGUGCCGGAGACGGGCACUAAACAGAAGCAACCCGGAUCAUUGCCUGCAAUGUAUCGCAGCCAUCGCUGCGACACCAUGGGUCGAGCUGGCGGUGCGGCCCGUGAUACUAGUACCGUCGCACAGAACCCAGCCCCUUCCCCCAAGCCCCGAAUAAUAUUAUUAUUAUUUUAUAUUACUAUGUUAUAUAUAUUAUUUACUACAUAUAUAUUAUAUUAUCUCACCAUUA